AACGAACGCUGGCGGCAUGCCUAACACAUGCAAGUCGAACGAAGCCUUCGGGCUUAGUGGCGCACGGGUGCGUAACGCGUGGGAAUCUGCCCUUGGGUUCGGAAUAACAGUUAGAAAUGACUGCUAAUACCGGAUGAUGUCUUCGGACCAAAGAUUUAUCGCCCAAGGAUGAGCCCGCGUAGGAUUAGGUAGUUGGUGGGGUAAUGGCCCACCAAGCCGACGAUCCGUGGCUGGUCUGAGAGGAUGAUCAGCCACACUGGGACGGAGACACGGCCCAGACUCCUACGGGAGGCAUCAGUGGGGAAUAUUGGACAAUGGGCGAAAGCCUGAUCCAGCAAUGCCGCGUGAGUGAUGAAGGCCUUAGGGUUGUAAAGCUCUUUUACCAGGGAUGAUAAUGACAGUACCUGGAGAAUAAGCUCCGGCUAACUCCGUGCCAGCCGCCGCGGUAA
rnacentral:rRNA from 1 species